GAUGAACGCUGGCGGCGUGCCUAAUACAUGCAAGUCGAGCGAACAGACGAUGAUCUUGCUCCUCUGACGUUAGCGGCGCACGGGUGAGUAACACGUGGAUAAUCUACCUGUAUUACUGGUAUAACUUCGGGACUCCGGAUCUAAUACCGUAUGAUAUAUUGAACCGCAGUGGUCAAUAGUGAAAUUCGGUUGUUCUGGCUCGUAUAGAUGCAUACGAGCCGCAUUAGAUAGUUGGUGAGUUAACGGCUUACGAAGGCUACGAUGCGUAGCCGAACUGAGAGGGUGAUCGGCCACACUGGAACUGAGACACGGUCCAGGCUCCUACGGGAGGCAGCAGUAGGGAAUGUGACGCAAUGGGCGAGAGCCUGACGGAGCAGCGGCGCGUGAGUGAUGAAGGUCUUCGGAUCGUAAAACUCUGUUAUUAGGGAAGAACAAAUGUGUAAGUAACUAUGCACGUCUUGACGGUACCUAAUCAGAAAGCCACGGCUAACUACGUG
rnacentral:rRNA from 1 species